rnacentral:rRNA from 1 species
UACGUAGGUGGCAAGCGUUGUUCGGAAUUAUUGGGCGUAAAGGGCGCGUAGGCGGUUUGUUAAGUCAGCUGUGAAAGCCCGGGGCUCAACCCCGGAGGGUCAGCUGAUACUGGCAGGCUAGAGUACAGAAGAGGUAACUGGAAUUCCCGGUGUAGCGGUGAAAUGCGUAGAUAUCCGGAGGAACACCGGUGGCGAAGGCGGCUUCCUGGACCGACACUGACGCUGAGGCGCGAAAGCUAGGGGAGCAAACGGG